UGCGCAGGCGGUUCGUUAAGUCCGAUGUGAAAGCCCCGAGCUUAACUUGGGAAUGGCAUUGGAAACUGGCGGGCUGGAGUGUGGCAGAGGGGGGUGGAAUUCCACGUGUAGCAGUGAAAUGCGUAGAGAUGUGGAGGAACACCGAUGGCGAAGGCAGCCCCCUGGGCCAACACUGACGCUCAGGCACGAAAGCGUGGGGAGCAAACAGGAUUAGAUACCCUGGUAGUCCACGCCCUAAACGAUGUCAACUGGGUGUUGGGGAAGCGAUUCCUUGGUACCGUAGCUAACGCGUGAAGUUGACCGCCUGGGGAGUACGGCCGCAAGGUUAAA
rnacentral:rRNA from 1 species